GACGUAGGAGGCGAGCGUUGUCCGGAUUCAUUGGGCGUAAAGAGCGCGCAGGCGGCUUGGUAAGUCGGAUGUGAAAACCCGAGGCUCAACCUCGGGCGUGCAUCCGAAACUGCUCGGCUAGAGGUAGGUAGGGGAGAUCGGGAAUUCCUGGUGUAGCGGUGAAAUGCGUAGAGAUUUGGAGGAACACCAGUGGCGAAGGCGACUUUCUGGUCGUGUAACUGACACUGAGGCGCGAAAGCGUGGGGGAGCAAACAGG
rnacentral:rRNA from 1 species